AACGAACGCUGGCGGCAGGCCUAACACAUGCAAGUCGAGCGAGGACUUCGGUUCUAGCGGCGGACGGGUGAGUAACGCGUGGGAAUGUGCCCUUCUCUACGGAAUAGCCCUGGGAAACUGGGAGUAAUACCGUAUACGCCCUUUUGGGGAAAGAUUUAUCGGAGAAGGAUCAGCCCGCGUUGGAUUAGGUAGUUGGUGGGGUAAUGGCCUACCAAGCCGACCAUCCAUAGCUGGUUUGAGAGGAUGAUCAGCCACACUGGGACUGAGACACGGCCCAGACUCCUACGGGAGGCAGCAGUGGGGAAUCUUAGACAAUGGGGGCAACCCUGAUCGAGCCAUGCCGCGUGAGUGAUGAAGGCCUUAGGGUUGUAAAGCUCUUUCAGCUGGGAAGAUAAUGACGGUACCAGCAGAAGAAGCCCCGGCUAACUCCGUG
rnacentral:rRNA from 1 species